rnacentral:rRNA from 1 species
AGCGAACGCUGGCGGCAGGCUUAACACAUGCAAGUCGAGCGGGCCCUUCGGGGUCAGCGGCAGACGGGUGAGUAACACGUGGGAACGUACCCUUUGGUUCGGAAUAACGCUGGGAAACUAGCGCUAAUACCGGAUACGCCCUUUUGGGGAAAGGCUUGCUGCCGAAGGAUCAGCCCGCGUCUGAUUAGCUAGUUGGUGGGGUAAUGGCCUACCAAGGCGACGAUCAGUAGCUGGUCUGAGAGGAUGAUCAGCCACACUGGGACUGAGACACGGCCCAGACUCCUACGGGAGGCAGCAGUGGGGAAUAUUGGACAAUGGGCGCAAGCCUGAUCCAGCCAUGCCGCGUGAGUGAUGAAGGCCUUAGGGUUGUAAAGCUCUUUUGUCCGGGACGAUAAUGACGGUACCGGAAGAAUAAGCCCCGGCUAACUUCGUG